UGGGGAAUCUUCCGCAAUGGACGAAAGUCUGACGGAGCAACGCCGCGUGAGUGAAGAAGGUUUUCGGAUCGUAAAACUCUGUCUUUUGGGGCGAACGUGAGUAUGGUGAACAAUCAUAGUCAGUGACGGUACCAAAGGAGGAAGCCACGGCUAACUACGUGCCAGCAGCCGCGGUAAUACGUAGGUGGCAAGCGUUGUCCGGAAUUAUUGGGCGUAAAGAGCGCGUAGGCGGGACAGUCAGUCUGUUGUAAAGUGCGGGGCUCAACCCCGUGAUCGCAAUGGAAACAGCUAUUCUUGAGUGCAGGAGAGGAAGUGGAAUUCCCAGUGUAGCGGUGAAAUGCGUAGAUAUUGGGAGGAACACCAGUGGCGAAGGCGACUUUCUGGACUGUGUCUGACGCUGAGGCGCGAAAGCCAGGGGAGCGAACGGGAUUAGAUACCCCGGUAGUCCUGGCCGUAAACGAUGGGUACUAGGUGUGGGAGGUAUCGACCCCUUCCGUGCCGGAGUUAACGCAAUAAGUACCCCGCCUGGGGAGUACGGUCGCAAGACUGAAACUCAAGAAUUGACGGGUCAUAGCUGUUCCUG
rnacentral:rRNA from 1 species